AUUGAACGCUGGCGGCAGGCUUAACACAUGCAAGUCGAGCGGGGGAAGGUAGCUUGCUACCGGACCUAGCGGCGGACGGGUGAGUAAUGCUUAGGAAUCUGCCUAUAAGUGGGGGACAACAGCUCGAAAGGGAUGCUAAUACCGCAUACGUCCGACGGGAGAAAGCAGGGGAUCUUUAUGACCUUGCGCUAAUAGAUGAGCGUAAGUCGGAUUAGCUAGUUGGUGGGGUAAAGGCCUACCAAGGCGACGAUCUGUAGCGGGUCUGAGAGGAUGAUCCGCCACACUGGGACUGAGACACGGCCCAGACUCCUACGGGAGGCAGCAGUGGGGAAUAUUGGACAAUGGGGGGAACCCUGAUCCAGCCAUGCCGCGUGUGUGAAGAAGGCCUUAUGGUUGUAAAGCACUUUAAGCGAGGAGGAGGCUCUUUUGGUUAAUACCCAAGAUGAGUGGACGUUACUCGCAGAAUAAGCACCGGCUAACUCUGUGCCAGCCGCCGCUGUAAAAC
rnacentral:rRNA from 1 species